GGUAGCCGGCCUGAGAGGGCGACCGGCCACACUGGGACUGAGACACGGCCCAAACUCCUACGGGAGGCAGCAGUGGGGAAUCUUGCGCAAUGGGCGAAAGCCUGACGCGGCGACGCCGCGUGAGGGAUGACGGCCUUCGGGUUGUAAACCUCUUUCAGCUCCGACGAAGCGAAAGUGACGGUAGGAGCAGAAGAAGCACCGGCCAACUACGUGCCAGCAGCCGCGGUAAUACGUAGGGUGCAACCGUUGUCCGGAAUUAUUGGGCGUAAAGAGCUCGUAGGCGGUUUGUCGCGUCGGCUGUGAAAACUCGGGGCUCAACUCUGAGCUUGCGGUCGAUACGGGCGGACUUGAGUUCGGCAGGGGAGACUGGAAUUCCUGGUGUAGCGGUGAAAUGCGCAGAUAUCAGGAGGAACACCGGUGGCGAAGGCGGGUCUCUGGGCCGAAACUGACGCUGAGGAGCGAAAGCGUGGGGAGCGAACAGGAUUAGAUACCCUGGUAGUCCACGCCGUAAACGUUGGGCGCUAGGUGUGGGGGCCAUUCCACGGUCUCCGUGCCGCAGCUAACGCAUUAAGCGCCCCGCCUGGGGAGUACGGCCGCAAGGCUAAAACUCAAAGGAAUUGACGGGGGCCCGCACAUGCGGCGGAGCAUGUUGCUUAAUUCGAUGCAACGCGAAGAACCUUACCUAGGCUUGACAUGCACGGAAAUCUCGCAGAGAUGCGGGGUCCGUAAGGGCCGUGCACAGGUGGUGCAUGGUUGUCGUCAGCUCGUGUCGUGAGAUGUUGGGUUAAGUCCCGCAACGAGCGCAACCCUCGUUCCAUGUUGCCAGCACGUGAUGGUGGGGACUCAUGGGAGACUGCCGGGGUCAACUCGGAGGAAGGUGGGGAUGACGUCAAAUCAUCAUGCCCCUUAUGUCUAGGGCUGCAAACAUGCUACAAUGGCCGGUACAAAGGGCUGCGAUACCGUGAGGUGGAGCGAAUCCCAAAAAGCCGGUCUCAGUUCGGAUUGGGGUCUGCAACUCGACCCCAUGAAGUUGGAGUCGCUAGUAAUCGCAGAUCAG
rnacentral:rRNA from 1 species